UACGAAGGGGGCUAGCGUUGCUCGGAAUCACUGGGCGUAAAGGGUGCGUAGGCGGGUCUUUAAGUCAGGGGUGAAAUCCUGGAGCUCAACUCCAGAACUGCCUUUGAUACUGAGGAUCUUGAGUUCGGGAGAGGUGAGUGGAACUGCGAGUGUAGAGGUGAAAUUCGUAGAUAUUGGGUGGAACACCGGUGGCGAAAGCGGCUCUCUGGUCCGGACCUGACGCUGAGGCGCGAAAGCGUGGGGAGCAAACAGG
rnacentral:rRNA from 1 species